UACGGAGGGGGCUAGCGUUGUUCGGAAUUACUGGGCGUAAAGCGCGCGUAGGCGGACCUGCAAGUCGGGGGUGAAAGCCCGAGGCUCAACCUCGGAACUGCCCUCGAUACUGCGGGUCUCGAGUCCGGGAGAGGUGAGUGGAAUUCCUGGUGUAGCGGUGAAAUGCGCAGAUAUCAGGAAGAACACCCGUGGCGAAGGCGGCUCUCUGGGACGGUACUGACGCUGAGACGCGAAAGCGUGGGGAGCGAACAGG
rnacentral:rRNA from 1 species